rnacentral:tRNA from 1 species
AAGGCCUUAGCUUAAUAAAAGUGUCUGAUUUGCAAUCAGGAGAUGUGAGUUAGUCUCUCGCAGGUCUUA